UGCCUUAGCCUCCCAACCAUCUGGAUUUUCAGGAAAUUCUUGAUAAAAAUUACAGCCUGAUCUCAGUUGUGCAACAGGAAUUUUGAAGAGCAGCCACCCUCCCUGAAGCCAUCUAGGGAACACCAGCAGAAUCACACUGGAGGACUGGUGUCCACAGAAGGCCACAAGCUUGUGAAGGUCAACUCAGCUGUGGCAGCUGAGCAACUGUCGGGCAAGUCUGCUGGAAUCUGAAAACCCAGAGACAUUUGUCCUGGGGGAUAUAUGGUAUGGUUCCCUUGGGUUCUCAGAAAUGACUGAGAUGACAUUUUGAGAGAAGCUAAGUUUUGGAAAUUAGGCCAGAGACUUAUGCCAAAAUUGUGGAUAAAGAGGAAGUUCCUGUUUGGGUUGUAGUGACAGGCUGUUGAGACUGGUGAAGUAAGCAUCACACUCAAUUUACCCCACACUAUGAGGAGCAAAAGAGUUCUUAAAAAGACAGAGAGGCAUAGCCUCAUCAUCAGAGCUCUUUAGGGAAACUGGGGAUUACCUCUAUAUGUCAGAUUUUCAAAUUAGCGUUGCACACCAGAGACCUCUUCAGGUGAGGUGAACUUGUAAAAAUACCUGAGAAUGGUUGUGAAACUGUAGUGUGCUGCUGCUGUGACUUCUGUUUUAUUUUUUUCAUUUCAUUUACUUUUCUAUAUACGAGUGUGUGUGUUUGUGCACACACACAGAGUAUAUAUAAGACAUAGAUACUUAUAGUACAUAGAAAUGUAUUUGUAUAAAUACAUGUAUGAUGUUGAAAGUUUGAGAUUCUUUGUUUUUUGAUAAAAACUAGUUAAAAUUGUUAUUAAGAUCUGAAAAUUAAUUCAGUCAGUUUUAAGAGACAUAGAAAUUCAGAGCAGCAAUCCCUGUUUGGUAAAUGCUUCUGUGGGGGACAACAUUCUCCACUAAGGUAAUUUUGAGCCACAAUCUUAAAUCAAACCACGAAAGAUAGAAAUUAUUUCCUUGGAAUAAGCUGUGAACAGUAUUACCUAAGGCUUUGGAUAAUUUCAAAUGAAAUGCUGAAUUUAGUAUAUUGAAUGACACAGCAUCUUUAUUUUAAAAUGGAACAAGUCAAUAAGGUAUUUACAGGAACACACAGCUUGAAUAAUAAAAUGUGUGUGAAUAGAUCUUAAUAAUUCAUUCCAUGUGCUGAUGCAAUUUGAUACAAACUCAAGCGUUUUAAUAAGAACUGUAAGCUGUUUUUUGAAAUUAUGUAUUGGAUUAGAGAGAGAGAGAGAACAGACCAAUUAAGCAACGAAAAAGAAGCGGGGAAUUGCUAAUGCUGAAUGAGUAGGAGCCAUCUGGAACUAUAAAGCGUCCCCAACAACCUACAGCUUCCCACACAGAUCGUAACCUCCUCCUCCGAUACCCGCCCCCACUACUUUGUGUAGGAGUUUAUCUUUUCCAGCUAUCACUAUGGGUAGGGUAAAAACUACUUUUAUAAAAAUUACCUUCAUGGUUACUGAAAGCUGAAGAGGAAUACUUCACUAACCAUGGGUCAUGACUCAUAGCGUAAAUACUUAUCUAGUAAGCAUUUAUAAUAUUUCUUUGGUGCUAAUUUUCUCAUUGAAUAAAGUUUGCUUUCAUUUUGUUUCAUCCACAUCAUAGCGGCACUUUCUGGCUGAGCUGCUUAACCCUCUGAAUUCAACUAUUUGCAGAGGCAUAAAGAAUUUUGAUGACUAUUUCAUUAUGCUUCCUCUAAAAAUAUGUUUUAAAGUCUCUAAAGAUUGUUGACUGUGUGCAAAACACUCUAAAGCUUGUUUCAAAGUAACAUAAAGCAUUUAGAUGAGAAAAGGGAAUAUACACAAUCCACUUCAGCUACACAUAAACUGGUUCAUGUGUUAAGGACAGUUCUAGAACUUUGGAAACUUGGAUAAGGACGCUCCUUCUGAGUAUAGUUCUCAUAGCACAAUCCCAAAGACACUGGAACCAACUUCAACUCCCACUGAGCUUAGAACCUACCCUUUACAUUACCCUAGAAAAACAAACACACUCUUUUAUGUAACCCCUCUCCCCAUUCUCCCCCUUCUUUUACAAAUUAUAUGCUAAAAUGCUCCCAACGUACUUAUAAAUAGAUCCAAUAAGACAUCAAUUUCUACACCUUCCAAGAGGGAGGGGAAACAAUCACAGGAAAUGAGGUGAAAACAAAUACUAUUGGCCGGGCGCAGUGGCUCACGCCUGUAAUCCCAGCACUUUGGGAGGCCGAGGCGGACAGAUCACGAGGUCAGGAGAUCGAGACCAUCCUGGCUAACACGGUGAAACCCCAUCUCUACUAAAAAUACAAAAAAAAUUAGCCAGGCGUGGUUGCAGGCGCCUGUAGUCCCGGCUACUCGGGAGGCUGAGGCAGGAGAAUGACAUGAACCCGGGAGGCGGAGCUUGUAGUGAGCCGAUAUUGUGCCACUGCACUUCAGCCGGGGCGACAGAGCGAGACGAGACUCUGCCUCAAAAGAAAACAAAAUAAAAACAAAAACAAACAAACAAAAAACAAACCAAAUGUUAUUAACCAAAUUACUAAAAUAAAGGAAACUUGAACACUAAAGAAUAAAUAAUUUUCACAAGAACAUUCUAAAGCAAAUUGUAGUAUCACUUUAUUUUCAUUAUUGUAGUAACAUUUCUUCAAUGACUUGGUAUCAAUAAAUUGUAUACAAAUAAAAGUCCUGUGUUGGCUUAAUAUUUCAUUUUUCAGCUUUUGUGUUAGGGUCUAUAAACAAGUUUAUUGGUACCUGUGUUUACAGAUGCACCAUAUUUAAAUGUAGUAUAAAGUCUGAUAUAUAUGAGAAUACGAUGGGAUAUGU
rnacentral:lncRNA from 1 species